AAAUUUACAAUACAAAAUUCAAAAUAAAGCAAAUCAGAUUUAUAAAACUAAUAUAAUGUUCAGAUUAAAAAGGUUUCAAUAAUAUAUAUGUUUGUUAUAUAUUUGAUCUGCAAAACGUUAUCGAUGUCACCAUUCAACAUAUAUUUUGAAGCGUUCAAACCACUUGAUCCGCAUUUGUACCGCUAUAUACGCUUGAUCUACUUUUGUUCUACUUGAUCCGCCUGAUAUGUUUGAUACACUCAGCCCGAUAAGCUUUUUUCAUCUAGAGUCAAUGUUUCUUUAUGUCACCAUUGGCGUAUCUAUGGAUUUAUCCAAGAGGUAAAGAGUCUAGUCUUAUUUUUUAAUUUUAUUUAUAAACAAAACUAUAAGUUGUUUAACAUAUGUAUUGAAUAGAGAUUUAAUUCGAUUAGUUAAUUAAACUAUAUGAUUAAUUUAGUAAAGUUAACAGAAAUUAGCGAUUAAAAAGGGAAGUUAAUAAAAAAAAGUCUAUAAAAGGUAGCACAGAUAAAGUUGGAAUCUUUUUGCAUUUUAUAUAGUCAAAGAUUUUUUAUUGGAUAACUUUUCCAUUGUUUUUACUUUUUUUUUUCUCGUAUAAUACAUUAGUAAAUUUUAUUAAUUUUUAAGAGACAUUUAAUCGUGUUCUAUUUUGUUAUUAUAUAAAAAUACUCCUUAAUAUUUAUGUUUCGGUAAGAUACUCUUCCAUAAUGAGUGUUGGAGUCGGAUUCCCCCACCAGCAAGACCGUCAGAUUCCCCCACAAGCAAGACCGAGCCAAACAGUUGAAGACUAAUAGUCGCGUUCAGUACAAAAAAAUUAAGUAUCUUUAGCGGCCGAAUAACGCUAUCUAAUGAGACAAUAGCGGAGUAGAAAGCGCUAUAUAUGCACCCAUGAUAAUAGGUCGAUGAUUUCCGAUAGCAUUUUUUUAUUGUUAUAUGUUAUGCAAUGUUAUACGCUUUAAUAGCGAGUAUAUUUUGUUAUUAAUCAUCUAAUAACAACGUUGUUUUACUGUUACGUUUACUAUUAUAAUAGCAACCUUAUCUUGCAAUUUUUCUACCUAAAUAGCAUUUAUAAUAUGCAAUUAAUUGUUUAUUUGUGUAGCAAUUUUUCGGAGUUUUUUUUUAAUUUUUGGAUAAAUUAACAAAUUCAAUAAUAAUAUAAAUGACAUAUUU
rnacentral:sRNA from 1 species